GCUCGUGCUAAUUUGCAAUUUGUUUACACUGUGCUUUUCCUUGGCAGCGGGUCUUUUGUGUCUCCUGGUUCUCAGUGAACUGUACAGAAAUGAAGGAUUCCCUUUACAACAACAAGAAGUAGGCAAAGUACUCUCUUCCACGGCAAUGUAAUCGUCAGGAUGUUAAAAUGGGAAGUGUUGGGAACUAGGAAAUCUGUCAGACACCUGCUGCCACAGCUGAGGUGGAUAAAACACCCGUGGGCAGCACCCAGAUGGGACCAGGCGGGUGCAGGAUCCCCCAGGGCAGCAGUGGGGUUUGCACUGCACAGUUUUCCUGUGUGAACAAUAAAAGAAUUCCAGAGGCAGCCCAGGCCAAGUGUGCCUGAGCUGGUCUAUGGGAGUGCCUGGCAAUGAAGGUUCUGCACAGGUCUGACACCAAGGUCCCCAGGAUGUUUGUCUUGUCACCCAAACGCUGACUGGGUGCUCAGGAGGGACUCUGCACUCCCUCCUCAGCUCCACUAAGAGGACACAUCUGAACUCCA